rnacentral:lncRNA from 1 species
GCUCAGGUCUCAACGACGUCAUCCUUCUUGUUGCCGUGGAGGGUCACAGUGGGCUGCUUCCCGGGGACCCUGCAGAGAGUGGCCUGUCCUCCGAUGGAAGGGCCCAACAUCAGGCAAUGACACCGUGGACGUCUGUGCGUUUCCAAAUGGCGUCCCUGAAUGCUAAGCUGGUCCUAAUCAGAAUGGAGGGGGAUGUCCUCUAUGGUCCCUGACUCACUCUCGCUCUCUCUCUCUCUCUCUCUCUCUCUCUCUCUCUCGCUCUCUCGCUCUCGCAGGCACGCCGAGACGCCAUUCCUGCUCUUCUUGUCCUUCGUCCAUGUGCACACGGCCCACUUCUCCUCCAGAGAGUUCGCCAGAAAGAGUCGGCACGGCCCUUACGGGGACGGCGUGGAGGAGAUGGACUGGAGCGUGGGUACGUGCGCCUCCGCGGCCGCCUCCCUCUUCUCCUUUGUCAAUUUCUCCCUGUCACCCGGACGCCAUGGGUGACCAGGCAUUUGUACUUCUUUUCAAAAAAAGAAGCCAGGAAGACUGUCUCGUUGAGACUUAGAUUAAAAAUGCAUGCCUCAAACUGGGUUCAGUGGCGCACACCUGGAAUCCCAGCAGCUCGGGAGGCCGAGGCCGGAGGAUCGUGAGUUCAAAGCCAGCCUCAGCAACUUAACGAGGCCCUGAAAACUUCAGUGAGGCUCUGUCUCUAAAUAAAACAUGAAAAGGGCCGGGGAUGUGGCUCCGUGGGUAAGCACCCCUGGGCUCAACACCCAGUACCCAAAAUAACGUAUGUCCUCCAGGCCCAUAAAGGAUCCUAACUGUACCGUCGUCAUCUUGCUCACCUGAGCAAUCUUGAUUUGUUCCAUUGGGAUUAGGGAAGGCCACGGUAUGUGGAUUUUGCAGAGGAAUACGCGAUCACGGGGCGCGGGAUUCUGUCUUGCAUCCCAGUCGUCUCUGGCAACCACACCCACGCUCCAGUGUCCUCUAUUUUUCCUGCCUCCCUUGAUGAACUUGGGCGAUGUCUAAAAUCCCCGAGUCUUCUGUUUGUCCACUCUGAAGAAUUUGGAGUAGGCAGGUGGUAGCUUCCUCCUCCAGCCGAGAGC